GUUGUCGAUAUCUGAUAUCGUGUUUGAAAAGAGGUGAAAAUAAGCCAAAAUCCAAAUUUAGAAAUGACCUUGACCUUUGACCUUGAGCCUAUUUUCUUUUUUUGGACCAAGGACCUCAAAUCAAAAGAACCUAGGUCUCUAUCACUUAUGGUUUACCAAUAACAAUUACACUUUACUUAUUUUAAAUACAGAAGGGGAAAUAACUCUCAUAUGGAGUUUCCGGACCACUUCGGUCAAAAUUAUUUUUAAGAUCCUGAGGAUAUAACGAGC
rnacentral:lncRNA from 1 species